rnacentral:rRNA from 1 species
UGGGGAAUAUUGCACAAUGGGCGCAAGCCUGAUGCAGCGAUGCCGCGUGAGGGAAGAAGGUUUUCGGAUUGUAAACCUCUGUCAUCAGGGACGAAAAAAGACGGUACCUGAGAAGGAAGCUCCGGCUAACUACGUGCCAGCAGCCGCGGUAAUACGUAGGGAGCAAGCGUUAUCCGGAAUUACUGGGUGUAAAGGGAGUGUAGGCGGGACUGUAAGUCAGGUGUGAAAUAUGCCGGCUCAACUGGCAGACUGCAUUUGAAACUGUGGUUCUUGAGUGAAGUAGAGGUAAGCGGAAUUCCUGGUGUAGCGGUG